GCUCCUUUCGAAAUUGCAAGGUGCAUAAGAUCCCUCACUUUUGUUGUGUUCACCAUCCGUCCGUCCGCGUUCGCCGUCGUGGUCCACCCUCCAAAAACGCAUACUAGAUCCUUCACAUUUCGUUUGUUCGUCCGACUUUCUCCCUGCCACCGCCCUCUCCGAUUCUCUCUCUGCCACCGUCUUCAACUCUCUCCCUGUCACCCUGUCUCCAUCUCUCUCGCCUUCCUCUCAAUCUACAUUUUGUUACGUUCUUGUUCUUGUUCUUCUCCUUAGGGCUUUCAUUUCUCCAGGUUUCAAUCCAUUAGUUUGUAAUUUUCCUUUAAUUUCUUUGUUCUUAAUAUGAUUUUUGCCUCAAUUUUUCUAGGGUUUUUAGCCGUAGCUUGUGGUGUGUCACAUUCCAACCUAAAGAGUUCUUCUCCCUCGUCUGUUCAAAGAAUUGAAGUUAUUUUCUGCUUUCUUUUCUUUUUAUUGAAUCUUUGAGUUUCUACAUUUCGAGGAAUUGAAAAUUUUCUUUGUUCUGUUUCUUUCUUUAUUGAAUUUUGCUUUUACUUUUUCUUUCUUUGACAUUAUUUCUUAUGUAAAUGUAAUAUUUACUUUUUGUUUAUUUGUUAAUUUCAUUUGUAAAUGUCUUAUACUCUUCUUGCCUUCUCCUCUUUGGUUUUUAAAUGCCUUACUCUUCUUGGCUACUCUCAUUUGGUUUUUGUUCUGGUUUUGUUCUCCAUCUCUAUUUGUUUCCAAGUGUGCUGUCUAUUGCAUCUCUUUAAUUUGUGAUAAUUGGAACUUUUUUUGUUCUUGCUUCUUUGUUGGCUGGAUGCUUGGAGUCAAAGACUUGGUUGUGAGGAUAAUUUGAAAAUGUGUUGACAUUUAUGUCUUGCCCUGGAGAGAUUUGAAAUUCACAUUUUUCUAUCCCUAUGUAUUUCAAUUUGGGCAAGCUUAGUAUUCUAUGUGAAAAUGUCUCCAUUUCACACGAUCCAAUUGUGUACAAUAUCUCCAACGAUGGAAACUUAGUCGUACAUUUUCCAUUGUGAAAGCAAGCUAGUCUUGGUAAGGCAUAUAUUUCGAUUUCUUCCAGGUUUUUGAAAAAAAUUUCACCAUUUUCUUCUUCUCCUUCUUCUGGUGCAACCAUACAUCUCAUUUCUCUACAAUAACGUAUUUGAAUAGACACCAAAUUUCCUAGAUUUUCUGCCACCGAAGAGCUAAACAAGUUCAUCAUUUUAUUUCAUUCUGUGAUCACAAGAAACUUCAAAUUUAGGAAUGUGACUGAGGAUGGCAAUAUGCACUUCAAAUUCUCACAUCUGCCUAUGUAUAUCGUUUCCAAAUUAUCAAAACUAAUUGUGUUGACUUCACUACUUUCUUUCCACACAUGCAUAACCUUUGGAAGAUUACCUAAUGAUAAGAUAUUCAACUUUCCACAUCUUUAACCAUUAUUAUUAUUGUUUCUACUUAAUUCUUCAUUUUCAAACACUUGUACCAGCUGAUGGCCAUUUAUUAUUUCAAUUUCUUCAAUAUUGUAUAAUACUUCACUCAUUUCCAAUGGCAAACAAACUAUGUCAUCAUCCUCACAACCAAUCAGUUUAACUUAAGCUUGAUAUUUUGCACCAUAUAAAAAAGUUGUUCUCAGUUCUCAAUGUUCAAUCAGUGAAGUUAACAAGAUUGCACGGGUGUUUGUUUAGUAUCCAACAUUUCACUUGGCAUUUGAUGAAGGUUUCACAUUUUCUUGUUAAUGAUACAUGCCCCUUUUCUAAUUCAGCUUCGCAUUAUUAUACACACCAUCAAAAUAUUUAGUUUAAAAACAUUUGAUUACUCAUCAGUUUUAGUGUGGUUGCAUGUUUGAAGUUCAUAAAAGUAAUGGUAAUUUUGGCAGAUCAGAACUGAGGAGAUGGACCUAAUAGCUAAGACAGACAUUUCUGCUCAUUAUUAUGGUACAAGCCACCCAGUUAGAAACUCUGCCCAAUUGUAGAACUUCAAGAGGGAAAGUUGUCUGUCUUAGUGAUGCAAAUAUUGCACUCUGGGUAUUUGUUUACCUUUCCUGAUAGUAGACUUCUUGAGGUGUUAAGAUAUUUUUAGGAACUAGUCUAGAUUUGAUAAUUACGACGAGAUGGGCAUUGUCUUUAUAGGCUCCUUCUGUAUUCUUUUAUUUAUUUUCUAUGAAUGUUCGGUUUGUAUGCAUAAAUUACAAUUAUGCAAUAUUUGAUUUCUUUUGGUCCUUCUUACCUUUUGAAUGCAGGUGAAAUGUUGCUGUAAAAUGUGCUACAAUCACCUUAGAUAAAGCUACAGUCAAACAGUUGGACUUAAAACUAUGCGGAGAAGUCAUAAUGGCACAAUUAGGAACAUUCUAUUGGAAUUUGUGUCCUAAAACUCAUACUUUGUUAUUUGAUUCAAUAAACUUUAUUAUUGAAUGCUAUAAUCUUAAAACCAAUAAAUAAAGGUCCCGAGGCCAUUUUACUGA